rnacentral:rRNA from 1 species
UACGGUGUUGGUUCACCGCCCGUCGGUGUUAACUGGCAUGAUCGUGGGACGUCCUGCCGGUGGUGGCGAGUCGAAGGCGCGYGUCCGYUGCGGCUAACGUUGUGUGCGGUGCCGUGGCUGUAGGCGGACCCCGAUAAAAUCCCUCCGCGGUGCUCUUCACUGAGUGUCGAGGUGGGCCGGCACGUUUACUUUGAACAAAUUAGAGUGCUUAAAGCAGGCAAGCCCGCCUGAAUAUUGUGUGCAUGGAAUAAUGGAAUAGGACCUCGGUUCUAUUUUGUUGGUUUUCGGAACCCGAGGUAAUGAUUAAUAGGGACAGGCGGGGGCAUUCGUAUUGCGACGUUAGAGGUGAAAUUCUUGGAUCGUCGCAAGACGAACAGAAGCGAAAGCAUUUGCCAAGUAUGUUUUCAUUAAUCAAGAACGAAAGUUAGAGGUUCGAAGGCGAUCAGAUACCGCCCUAGUUCUAACCAUAAACGAUGCCAGCCAGCGAUCCGCCGCAGUUCCUCCGAUGACUCGGCGGGCAGCCCCGGGAAACCAAGCUUUUGGGUUCCGGGGGAAGUAUGGUUGCAAAGCUGAAACUUAAAGGAAUUGACGGAAGGGCACCACCAGGAGUGGAGUCUGCGGCUUAAUUUGACUCAACACGGGAAAGCUCACCAGGCCCGGACACCCGAAGGAUUGACAGAUUGAUAGCUCUUUCUUGAUUGGGUGUGUGGUGGUGCAUGGCCGUUCUUAGUUCGUGGACUGAUUUGUCUGGUUAAUUCCGAUAACGACCGAGACUCUAGCCUCUAAAUAGUCGUCGACAUCCUCGGCUGUCGGCAUCACAUUUCUUCUUAGAGGGACGGCGGUUACCGCACAGAUUAGCAUAACAGGUCUGUGAUGCCCUUAGAUGUUCUGGGCCGCACGCGCGCUACACUGAAGAAUCAGCGUGUCUUCCUAGGCCGAAAGGUCCGGUAACCCGUAACCUCCUUCGUGCUAGGAUUGGGGUUGCAAUUUUCCCCAUGAACGAGGAAUUCCAGUAAGCGCGAGUCAUAAACUGCGUUGAUUACGUCCCUGCCCUUUGUACACACCGCCCGUCGCUACUACGAUUGAAUGAUUUAGUGAGGUCUUCGACUGGUGCGCGGCGUCGACUUGUUCGUAGCCGAUGUUUCUGGAAAGAUGACCAAACUUGAUUAUUUAAGGAAGUAAAAGUCGUAACAAGGUUUCCGUAGGUGAAC